CAGCAGCCGCGGUAAUACGUAGAGUGCAAGCGUUAAUCGGAAUUACUGGGCGUAAAGCGUGCGUAGGCGGUGAGUUAAGUCCGCUGUGAAAUCCCCGGGCUCAACCUGGGAAUGGCAGUGGAUACUGGCUCGCUAGAGUGUGUCAGAGGAUGGUGGAAUUCCCGGUGUAGCGGUGAAAUGCGUAGAGAUCGGGAGGAACAUCAGUGGCGAAGGCGGCCAUCUGGGACAACACUGACGCUGAGGCACGAAAGCGUGGGGAGCAAACAGGAUUAGAUACCCCAGUAGUCCCUGUCUCUUAUAC
rnacentral:rRNA from 1 species